rnacentral:rRNA from 1 species
UACGGGGGGGGCAAGCGUUGUUCGGAAUUACUGGGCGUAAAGGGCUCGUAGGCGGCCAACUAAGUCGGAUGUGAAAUCCCCAGGCUUAACCUGGGAACUGCAUCCGAUACUGGAUGGCUUGAAUUCGGGAGAGGGAUGCAGAAUUCCAGGUGUAGCGGUGAAAUGCGUAGAUAUCUGGAGGAAUACCGGUGGCGAAGGCGGCAUCCUGGACCGAGAUUGACGCUGAGGAGCGAAAGCCAGGGGAGCAAACGGG